rfam:Populus trichocarpa scaffold_301_contig_1, whole genome shotgun sequence.
UCUAGAACUCGAGAUAUGAGCUGAACACUGAACAAUAUUUGGGUUACAGGACAGAUUCUGACUUCUCUUUUGUUGCUACAAUUUGAACUUGAAAACGGUCCUUUUGAAUCUUGGACUCGCAUAAAAGUUUUAGGCUUAUGUCUUAGCUUUCCAUC